rnacentral:rRNA from 1 species
GACGAACGCUGGCGGCGUGCCUAAUACAUGCAAGUCGAACGCAGUGGGGACGGGUGAGUAACACGUGGGUAACCUCCCAUCAGAGGGGAUAACACUUGGAAACAGGUGCUAAACCGAUACUGAUGGAUGGACCCGCUGUGCAUUAGCUAGUUGGUGAGGUAACGGCUCACCAAGGCCACGAUGCAUAGCCGAGCGGGGAGGGUGAGCGGCCACACUGGGACUGCGACACGGCCCAGAAUCCGACGGUAGGCAGCAGUAGGGAAUCUUGGGAAAUGGACGAAAGUCUGACCCAGCAACGCCGCGUGAGUGAAGAAGGUUUUCGGAUCGUAAAACACUGUUAUUAGAGAAGCGGUAUCUAACCAGAAAGCCACGGCUAACUACGUGCCAGCAGCCGCGGUAAUUC